UACGAAGGGGGCUAGCGUUGCUCGGAAUUACUGGGCGUAAAGCGCACGUAGGUGGUUUACUAAGCCAGCUGUGAAAUCCCCGGGCUCAACCUGGGCACUGCAGUUGGAACUGGUAAGCUAGAGUAGGGUAGAGGGGUGUGGAAUUCCAGGUGUAGCGGUGAAAUGCGUAGAUAUCUGGAGGAACAUCAGUGGCGAAGGCGACACCCUGGACUCAUACUGACACUGAGGUGCGAAAGCGUGGGGAGCAAACAGG
rnacentral:rRNA from 1 species